AUACGUAGGGGGCAAGCGUUGUCCGGAAUCACUGGGCGUAAAGGGUGCGUAGGCGGCCUAGCAAGUCCUGUGUGAAAUACCUCGGCUUAACCGGGGAGGGUCAUGGGAAACUGUUAGGCUCGAGUGCCGGAGAGGGCAGUGGAAUUCCAGGUGUAGCGGUGAAAUGCGUAGAUAUCUGGAGGAACAUCAGUGGCGAAGGCGACUGCCUGGACGGUAACUGACGCUGAGGCACGACAGCUGGGGGAGCAAACAGGAUUAGAUACCCUGGUAGUCCCAGCCGUAAACGAUGAGUGCUAGGUGUUGGGGGUAUCGACCCCUCCAGUGCCGUAGUAAACACAUUAAGCACUCCGCCUGGGGAGUACGGCCGCAAGGCUGAA
rnacentral:rRNA from 1 species